CUAAUUCUUGGUAUGAAUUCAUUCUUAAAUCAUUUCAUAAGGAAAAAGUCAAUACAUCAAUUAUCGAUCUGAAAUGGAACCAUUCAUUUUCUUAUUUAUCAAAAUCAACAUCUCAAAGAUUUUCAAUGUUUCAAGAUUUCAAAAUUAUGAUCUCAUUUUCUGUAAAAAUUAAUAUUCAAUAUCUCAUGACUCAAAUUAAAAUCAAAUCUAUCUCUUGUGAAUAGAAGAAGGUCAAUGUCUCUAUUCUUGCAUAAGAACU
rnacentral:lncRNA from 1 species